rnacentral:misc_RNA from 1 species
GAUAUAUUUAUUAUGACAAUGUAGUAUACUACAUGUGAUACUGAAAUAGGCAGUUCCAUGUUAAAAGAAAGUAUGUUUUCACAUGUAUACUCUGAGAGCUACAAGCAAGCAGUAACAAUGAGGAGGAUCAGAAUAGCAUGCGCCAGUAAUUGCCAACCAUUGAGAUAAAUGUUGGCGAUUCAGAAUACCAACAAAAAUUCUUUCCAAUAAUUUCAAAGGAUAUCGGAAGUCUUUUGAAUGUUGGAAGCUGCUUCUACACAAUAGCAGUAAAAAAAGGACACUAUAUUGCCGAAGCAUCAGUUUUUUUGCAGAUACGGAUCAUGGAGCAGGAUUAACAGCUGAUAUGGGUCUAGUCACAUACUACAAAAUUAUGAUAAUUCAUCUCCUUCACAUGAAUUCAAAUUUCUUAGAAUAAACAUAAAAUUCAGAGUAUAAUUUUUUGUUGUUGGUUCGUCUAAAACAUAUUUUGCCAACACCCA